UGAGGAAUAUUGGACAAUGGGUGAGAGCCUGAUCCAGCCAUCCCGCGUGAAGGACGACGGCCCUAUGGGUUGUAAACUUCUUUUGUACAGGGAUAAACCUUUCUACGUGUAGAAAGCUGAAGGUACUGUACGAAUAAGCACCGGCUAAUCCCG
rnacentral:rRNA from 1 species